UCAUUCCUUGGUUUCUGUUGCCCUCUCUGGUACCUGUGUGUUGCCUGGCAAGAAAGGAUGAUAAAGCAAGAAGCCCCUAGCACCUUGGUUUUGAACUUCUAUUCUGCAUAACAGUAUUUUGGCUGCAUGUAUAUCUACAAACCAUAUACAUGCCUGAUACCCACAGAGGCCAGAAGAUGGUGCUGAAUCCCCUGG